UACGUAGGGUGCGAGCGUUAAUCGGAAUUACUGGGCGUAAAGCGUGCGCAGGCGGUUCGUUGUGUCGGCGGUGAAAGCCCCGGGCUUAACCUGGGAAUGGCCGUUGAAACUGGCGAACUGGAGUGUGGCAGAGGGGGGUGGAAUUCCGCGUAUAGCAGUGAAAUGCGUAGAGAUGUGGAGGAAUACCGAUGGCGAAGGCAGCCCCCUGGGAUAACACUGACGCUCAUGCACGGAAGCGUGGGGAGCAAACAGG
rnacentral:rRNA from 1 species